GAUGAACGCUAGCGGCAGGCCUAAUACAUGCAAGUCGGACGGGAUUCAGGAGCUUGCUUCUGAUGAGAGUGGCGCACGGGUGCGUAACACGUAUGUAACCUACCUUUAUCAGGGGGAUAGCCUCUCGAAAGAGAGAUUAAGCCCGCAUAAAAUCACAGCACAGCAUUGUGUAAUGAUCAAAUAUUUAUAGGAUAAAGAUGGGCAUGCGGAACAUUAGCUAGAUGGCGGGGUAACGGCCCACCAUGGCGACGAUGUUUAGGGGAUCUGAGAGGAUGGCCCCCCACACUGGUACUGAGACACGGACCAGACUCCUACGGGAGGCAGCAGUAAGGAAUAUUGGUCAAUGGGCGGAAGCCUGAACCAGCCAUGCCGCGUGCAGGAAGACGGCCCUACGGGCUGUAAACUGCUUUUAUACGGGAAUAAACCCAGAUACGUGUAUCUGGCUGAAUGUACUGUAAGAAUAAGGAUCGGCUAACUCCGUG
rnacentral:rRNA from 1 species